rnacentral:rRNA from 1 species
UACGUAGGGUGCGAGCGUUAAUCGGAAUUACUGGGCGUAAAGCGUGCGCAGGCGGUUUGUUAAGACAGAUGUGAAAGCCCCGGGCUUAACCUGGGAAUGGCGUUUGUAACUGGCAAGCUAGAGUGUGUCAGAGGGAGGUAGAAUUCCACGUGUAGCAGUGAAAUGCGUAGAGAUGUGGAGGAAUACCGAUGGCGAAGGCAGCCUCCUGGGAUAACACUGACGCUCAUGCACGAAAGCGUGGGGAGCAAACAGG